UACGGGGGGAGCAAGCGUUGUUCGGAUUUACUGGGCGUAAAGGGCGCGUAGGCGGCCACCGCAAGUCGACUGUGAAAUCUCCGGGCUUAACCCGGAAAGGUCAGCCGAUACUGCGGGGCUAGAGUGCAGAAGGGGCAACUGGAAUUCUCGGUGUAGCGGUGAAAUGCGUAGAUAUCGAGAGGAACACCAGUGGCGAAGGCGGCUCACUGGCCCGAUACUGACGCUGAGGCACGAAAGCGUGGGGAUCAAACAGG
rnacentral:rRNA from 1 species